rfam:Anaerocolumna jejuensis DSM 15929 genome assembly, contig: EJ31DRAFT_scaffold00027.27
CAGUGAGGUAGAGGCGCGGUAUUUAACAGUCUUAAUUGGAGCAGAGGAGCUGGGAAGAUUGAGAGAAGGAAAUAUCGCCGAAGUGGUUAUGCAUCCUCAAUGCAUACUGCUGGGUCUGCAGUUAACAGCUGCAGGACUGUCUUAUCAGACUACCCAGUCUGGUAAGUUGUGCUAUCUCAUCU